UCCCUGGUGGCUCAGAUGGUAAAGCGUCUACCUCCAGUGCGGGAGACCCAGGUUCAAUCCCUGGGUUGGGAA
rnacentral:tRNA from 1 species